UACGAAGGCCCCAAGCGUUAUCCGGAUUUAUUGGGCGUAAAGGGCGCGUAGGAGGUCCGACGCGUCUUCCGUUAAAUUCUGCGGCUCAACCGCAGAUCUGCGGGGGAUACGGUCGGGCUAGAGGACGUUAGAGGCAGAUGGAACGCACGGUGUAGGGGUGAAAUCCGUUGAUAUCGUGCGGAACACCAAAGGCGAAGGCAUUCUGCUGGGACGUUCCUGACUCUGAGGCGCGAAAGCGUGGGGAGCAAAAAGG
rnacentral:misc_RNA from 1 species